CCAAGGAGUCUAGCGUGUGCGCGAGUCAUUGGGUUUUUGAAACCUAAAGGCGAAAUGAAAGUGUCUUCUCGGAGAGGCGGUAGCCCCUUUUCGCUCUUCCUCGAGCGAAAAGACUCCCCUCUCCGUCGGGAAGAUGGGCCGCCGUACAAUUAUUUGUCGGAGCCCCGCACUCCCGGGGCGUCUCGUUCUCCAUUGCGGAGUGGAGACGCACCAGGAGCGCACACGCUGGUACCCGAAAGAUGGUGAACUAUGCCUGGCCAGGACGAAGCCAGGGGAAACCCUGGUGGAGGUCCGAAGCGAUUCUGACGUGCAAAUCGAUCGUCUGAGCUGGGUAUAGGGGCGAAAGACCAAUCGAACCAUCUAGUAGCUGGUUCCCUCUGAAGUUUCCCUCAGGAUAGCUGGCUCUCGAGUUGAGACGAGUCUCAUCCGGUAGAGCGAAUGAUUAGAGGUGAUGGGGUCGAAACGACUUCAACCUAUUCUCAAACUCCCAAUAGAUGAGAGCCCCGGCUUGCUUGAAUGUGAAGCCGCUGGGUUUUUCGGAUCAGAGAUGCCAAGUGGGCCAAUUUU
rnacentral:rRNA from 1 species